rnacentral:rRNA from 1 species
GACGAACGCUGGCGGCGUGCCUAAUACAUGCAAGUCGAACGAGUGGCGGACGGGUGAGUAACCCGUGGGAACCUACCCAUCAGAGGGGGAUAACUACUGGAAACGGUAGCUAAUACCGCAUACCAUCAGAUGAACCCAUAUGGGAUUGGCUUGUAGGUGAGGUAACGGCUCACCUAGGCGACGAGCCCUAGCUGGUCUGAGAGGAUGAUGAGCCAGACUGGGACUGAUACACGGCCCAGACUCCUACGGGAGGCAGCAGUGGGGAAUUGUGCACAAUGGGCGAAAGCCUGAUGCAGCCAUGCCGGGUGUAUGAAGAAGGCCUUCGGGUUGUAAAGUACUUUCAGUCGGGAGGCGUUACCGACAGAAGAAGCACCGGCUAACUCCGUGCCAGCAGCCGCGGUAAUAC